UACGUAGGGUGCAAGCGUUGUCCGGAAUUAUUGGGCGUAAAGAGCUCGUAGGCGGUUUGUCGCGUCUGCUAGUGAAAACGCGAGGCUCAACCUCGCGCCUGCAGUGGGGUACGGGCAGACUAGAGUGCGGUAGGGGAGAUUGGAAUUCCUGGGUGUAAGCGGUGGAAUGCGCAGAGUAUCAGGAGGAACACCGAGUGGCGAAGGCAGAUCUCUGGGACCGUAACUGACGCUGAAGGAGACGGAAAGCGUGGGGGAGCGAAACAGG
rnacentral:rRNA from 1 species